rnacentral:rRNA from 1 species
UACGGAGGGUGCAAGCGUUGUUCGGAAUUAUUGGGCGUAAAGCGCGUGUAGGCGGCUUUGCAAGUCGGGUGUGAAAGCCCUCAGCUUAACUGAGGAAGUGCGCCCGAAACUGCAGAGCUUGAGUACCGGAGAGGAUGGCGGAAUUCCCCAAGUAGAGGUGAAAUUCGUAGAUAUGGGGAGGAACACCGGUGGCGAAGGCGGCCAUCUGGACGGAUACUGACGCUGAGACGCGAAAGCGUGGGUAGCAAACAGG